UGAGGCAGGAGAAUUGCUUGAACCCAGGAGGUGGAGGUUGCAGUGAGCCGAGAUCGAGCCACUGCACUCCAGCCUGGGUGGCAGAGUGAGACUCCAUCUC
rnacentral:miRNA from 1 species